UGAUAUGAUGAACAUUCAAAUGAAAUGGUAGAUCCAGAUUACAAUAUCUUCUGGAUAUGACUAUUCACAUACACUGAAAAUUCUGAU
rnacentral:snoRNA from 1 species